rnacentral:misc_RNA from 1 species
AAAGAGUUUAAAGACUCCCUAAACCCACUGCGAACAUACCUGUAUCGUUGCUUCGGCGGGCGGUCCCAGGGCGGGGCCUGGGCCGGACCUCUUCGGAGUCAGGUGCCCGCCGACGGCCCUUAUAAACUCUUGUAUUGUAGGCACUCUGAGCGACGAAGAUGGAAACGAAUUAA